rnacentral:rRNA from 1 species
UACGUAGGGGGGCAAGCGUUGUCCGGAAUCAUUGGGCGUAAAGCGCGUGUAGGCGGCCAGAAAAGUCCGCUGUGAAAUCCCGAGGCUCAACCUCGGGUCUGCAGUCGAUACGAGCAAACUAGAGUGUUGCAGGGGAGACUGGAAUUCCUGGUGUAGCGGUGAAAUGCGCAGAUAUCAGGAGGAACACCGGUGGCGAAGGCGGGUCUCUGGGCCGAUACUGACGCUGAGGAGCGAAAGCGUGGGGAGCGAACAGG